rnacentral:rRNA from 1 species
AUACGGAGGAUGCGAGCGUUAUCCGGAUUUAUUGGGUUUAAAGGGUGCGUAGGCGGGUCGCCAAGUCAGGGGUGAAAUCCCGGAGCCUAACUCCGGAACUGCCUUUGAUACUGGCGGUCUUGAAUUCGGAUGCCGUGGGAGGAAUGAGUAGUGUAGCGGGGAAAUGCGUAGAUAUUACUCAGAACACCGAUUGCGAAGGCAUCUCACGAAUCCGCGAUUGACGCUGAGGCACGAAAGCGUGGGGAUCAAACAGGAUUAGAUACCCUGGUAGUCCACGCAGUAAACGAUGAUGACUAACCGUCGGCGAUACACAGUCGGUGGCCAAGCGAAAGCGAUAAGUCAUCCACCUGGGGAGUACGACCGCAAGGUUGAAACUCAAAUGAAUUGACGGGG